UCUUGCAUUAAUAUUAUUCCUCAAACCCAAAUUCAUUCCAAAUCUAAUUAUACAUUACCAAAACUCAUAUUAUUAAGGUUCGAUCAGACCCGAUAUCCAUAAAUAUCCAACCUAUUUCUAUCCUUAAAAGUAGUAUAGUGAUAAAAAAGGUAAGCAACGAUAGUGAUGACAACGAAUAUUAUGAUGGUAUCUAUGAGAUUAUAGAAAAUGGGAUGAUGGUAGCAAACGUUAAAUUGAAGGAGUGGUUAUGGCAACAAUGACAAUAGUCAUGUUUAAUAACAGUUUUUAAACUAGUGUUUAGUAUUUUUAUUGCAGUCAAAAUAUUACUUCUUUUAUUUGUACUAUUUAAUGGCAGAAGUGUUUGAGCGUUUAGAGAUUAAAAGAGUGGAUUAUGAAAUGUUAUUACUUCUAACUUUUUAAAGUAGUAUUUACGUCCUAUUUAGAAAUUGCUGUUAAAAUAGCAUUUAGUAUUUUGACUAUGGUCAAAACACUACCUGUUUUAUUUAUACUAUUCAGUGGCAAUUUAUUUAUAUUAGUAUUUAGAGAUUAAGGGAGUGGUUUAUUAAAUAUUACCUCUCUUAG
rnacentral:misc_RNA from 1 species